UUAGCUCGAUUGGCAUCGACAUUAUUGCCAGUGAAAGAGGACGUGGGUUCAAGUGCGUUGAAGCGCAUUCCUCCUAUUUAAAAAUUGCGGAGGGGCUAUAGAUAGUUCUAGAUAUUGUAUUAAAAAGACCAGAUAUAAUAAGAACCUAUAAUGAGAUUAAUGUUCGAAAAAAAGAUUUCAAAAUUUAGGUCAAUUUGUCAACA
rnacentral:lncRNA from 1 species